AGUGGGAUAACUGGGUCAAAUGGUGAUUCCAUUCCAAGUUUUCUGAGGAAUGUUUGUACUGCUUUCCAGAUUGGUGGCACCAAUUUGCAGACCCACGAGCAAU
rnacentral:pre_miRNA from 1 species